AUCUCCCUCUCACUCUCCCUCCCUCUCUCUCGAUCUCCCUCUCCAUCGAUCUCUCUCUCCCGAUCUCAACCCUCUCUCUCGAUCUCCCUCUCACUCUCCCUCCCUCCAUCUCGAUCUCCCUCUCUCUCGAUCUCCCUCUCCCGAUAUCAACCCUCUCUCUCGAUCUCCCUCUCUUUCAAACUCCCACUCCCGAUCUCAACCCCCUCUCUCGAUACGAAUGGUACCAAUCAUCGAACCAUUCUGCAUGUGGGCCCAGUGACGGUGACAUACACAUCAGUCGUGACGAGGGUUUUAUGUUAUCCUAGGGCAGAAGGGGCUGAGAUGCAAUUGGGGAGAGCUGUUAUACGCCGUAGCUCUAAAUAUGCCUGCAGGUUCUCUGCAGGUUGCCAGCUCAAUAUCAGCCCUACAUCAAAUGAUGGUCUCAUAGUACGGUUCUGAUCAUCCGUUUAGUGGCCGUUUGCUGUCAGUGCAUGGUUUGGACAAUGGGAAGUCCAGGUAUGAAAUUACACAAGUGCCAUUGAAAUGGGGUUUUGUUUAGGAGAAGUCCAGGAUUGCAGAGCAUUAUAAUGCUUUGUUCUACUAGAUGCUUUGGGAUAUGUGGACAGUCAAAUCAGUCGAUCUGUACCGUCCAUUUGGCGGAUCCCAUGACGUAUUGGCCACAUCGCGAAAAUUUUAGUGAUCGGAUGAUUCUAACCAUAUCUAAUCAUGGCAUAUGAAAGAUGGAUGGUUAAUAUUGUUUAUGGUUGUAACAAUAUUAGGUGGGGACCAUCAUGGAUUGGUUGUAACAGUUCUAAGAAUCACUUUAAUUAGAUGAUCCUAACCAUCCCAUCCAUGGCUUGGGGAAUACAUGGCUAUAGGAAAGGUUGAUGUCUGGUGGGCAGCUGAUCAAAAAACUUAUGCCAAUUUACCAUUUAAAAGCCGUCUCUUAUCACUGGGAGAAAUGCUUAGACGAUGAUGAUAACUCAACUGUCAAUGCUCUUGAUUUCUUUUCUAUUUUUUAACUGAUUCAUGAAAUCUGGUUUUAAUGAUCUGAAUAAUAAAUGAUCUAGUUUCACAUGUAAUUGCAAUUAAAUUAGUUAUCAGAGGCUGAGUUCCCUGCUUGUGAACAGGGAACUUCCUUUUUAUACA